GCCCUUCUAGUAUAACUAAUACAAUUGACUUCCAAUCUCUUAAGUCUGGUUUAAACCCAGAGAAGGGCA
rnacentral:tRNA from 1 species